ensembl:snRNA U6 U6 spliceosomal RNA
GUGCUUACUUGGCAGUGCAUGUACUACAAUUGGAAUGCUAUAGAGAUUAUCAUGGCCCCUGCAUAAGGAAGACACAAAAAUUCUAACAUGUUUCUUACUUUA